GUUUCCGUAGUGUAGUGGUUAUCACGUCUGCUUUACAAGCAGAAGGUCCACAGUUCGAACCUGGGCGGAAACA
rfam:Nematostella vectensis strain CH2 x CH6 NEMVEscaffold_1587_Cont37443, whole genome shotgun sequence.